UUCUGGUGACCGGUGGAUUGCAGUUUGCUGGCUAGGAAUCGAAGCCCUUUGUUCUAGGAGGAUUAUUUUGGAGAAACGAAAUGGAAAGUGUUGGUGGGUCUGGAAGUCAACCUCCUAUACAAAAUGUGGAACAUGAUGUGGAAGCAGAAGUUGUAGAGAAAGAUACAUCUCAGCAGCCAUUGCCUCCAUCUGUUCCUAAAAAAAAAAAAAG